UACAGAGGGUGCAAGCGUUAAUCGGAAUUACUGGGCGUAAAGCGUGCGUAGACGGUCAUGUAAGUCGGGUGUGAAAGCCCCGGGCUCAACCUGGGAAUUGCAUUCGAGACUGCAUGGCUAGGAUGCGGAAGAGGGAAGCGGAAUUUCCGGUGUAGCGGUGAAAUGCGUAGAUAUUGGAAGGAACACCAGUGGCGAAAGCGGCUUCCUGGUCCAGCAUCGACGUUCAGGCACGAAAGCGUGGGGAGCAAACAGG
rnacentral:rRNA from 1 species